AAUAUCUAGGAGAAAAAACAGCAGCACAGAUCUGAGAAAUAAAUGGUAUCUGACAGGUAUAUAAUGCAACAGUGCAGUGAGAAAUCGGUUACUUGACUUCUUGUAACUGCUAUUUCUGGAAUAGCAAAGUCUACUACACUUCUUUUAACAGAAAAGACAACCAAAUUUGUAUAUUAUGUAUUACAAAUCUGAACAAGAAGAAGUCAUUGGUGAAGAGAUUAUGCUGCUCCACUAGUAGAAUAUCAUAGAAUCAUUACGGUUGGAAAAGACCUCCAAGAUCAUCUGGUUGAACCAUCCAUCUGAUCUGAAACAUAUUUCAGACUAGGGGAUAAGAAGUAACUUAAUGGCACACUAGAAAAGACUUCUCUUGACUGGACAGAAAACUCAAGGUACCUCUUACUUUAAAACAGUGUUAGCAAUUGGCUAUGUUUCAUUUUUACCAUUUGUCCCCAAUAAUCCUCUUUUUUUUUUUUCGUCAUUUUUUAAUGACAAAAGACAUGCUGUGCCAAAUUACAAUCAACAUAUGAGCAUGAGAAACCAAGAUAGCACUCCAAUAGUUUGGACUGUAUAUUACUUUUUUUUUUUUUUAGGUGGGAUGAAACAUUUGAUGUUAAUCUUUUUGACAGAAGGCUUCAAAAUUCUUUGCAAGUCACAAGACAACUGUCACCUGUUUGCAAAAUACCUUUUAAGGAACCAUCCAAGAAUUGUACAAAAUGGUCAAAGUGGAACAACACUUGUGAAAAAAAUCAGAUGUAGUCAAGACUCACACAGAACUUGAAGUGACCAUAAAUUUUGGUGUUUGACAGAUUAACUGAUAUGACUAUCCAAAGGUCCUCGUGUAGUCCUUCUUAUAAGCUGCCUAUAUGGACUAGUCUAUAAAGUAUUUCUGCUAGAAACAUGAGGAAUAUGUGACUGCAACAUACUUUUCUUACUACAGCCUGCAUACAGAAUGUUCUUUAAAUGAGCACAGAAUGUGCUUCAGAAUGAAAGAUUCUCAGUGAAAGCUAGUAGUUAAAAUUAAUAUCCACUUGAUGUGAAAAUGGAACAAACAUCAGAAG